rnacentral:rRNA from 1 species
GAUGAACGCUGGCGGCGUGCUUAACACAUGCAAGUCGAACGAUGAAGCCCAGCUUGCUGGGUGGAUUAGUGGCGAACGGGUGAGUAACACGUGAGUAACCUGCCCUUAACUCUGGGAUAAGCCUGGUAAACUGGGUCUAAUACCGGAUAGGAGCGUCCACCGCAUGGAGGGUGUUGGAAAGAUUUAUCGGUUUUGGAUGGACUCGCGGCCUAUCAGCGUGUUGGUGAGGUAAUGGCUGACCAAGGCGAAGACGGGUAGCCGGCCUGGGAGGGUGACCGGCCACCCUGGGACUGAGACACGCCCCAGACUCCUACGGGAGGCAGCAGUGGGGAAUAUUGCACAGUGGGCGCACGCCUGAUGCAGCGGCGCCGCGUGAGGGAUGACGGCCUUCGGGUUGUAAACCUCUUUCAGUAGGGAAGAAGCGAUAGUGACGGUACCUGCAGAAGAAGCACCGGCUAACUACGUG